rnacentral:rRNA from 1 species
AUUGAACGCUGGCGGCAGGCCUAACACAUGCAAGUCGAACGGUAACAGGAAACCGCUUGCUGUUUCGCUGACGAGUGGCGGACGGGUGAGUAAUGUCUGGGAAACUGCCUGAUGGAGGGGGAUAACUACUGGAAACGGUAGCUAAUACCGCAUAACGUCGCAAGACCAAAGAGGGGGACCCUUGGGCCUCUUGCCAUCGGAUGUGCCAGAUGGGAUUAGCUUGUUGGUGGGGUAACGGCUCACCAAGGCGACGAUCCCUAGCUGGUCUGAGAGGAUGACCAGCCACACUGGAACUGAGACACGGUCCAGACUCCUACGGGAGGCAGCAGUGGGGAAUAUUGGACAAUGGGCGCAAGCCUGAUGCAGCCAUGCCGCGUGUAUGAAGAAGGCCUUCGGGUUGUAAAGUACUUUCAGCGGGGAGGAAGGGAGUAAAGUUAAUACCUUUGCUCAUUGACGUUACCCUCAGAAGAAGCACCGGCUAACUCCGUG